AUUUAUAUAAUAUAAAUUAGUAUAAUUAACUUCCAAUUAAUAUGUCUGAUAAAUCAAUCAGUAUAAAUA
rnacentral:tRNA from 1 species